rnacentral:rRNA from 1 species
AAUAACUCCUGGAAACGGGUGGAAAUGCCGGAUGCUCCAAUUUGNUGCAUGGGGUGUUGGGAAAGGGUCUUACCGGUAUGGGAUGGGGUCGCGUCCUAUCAGCUUGUCGGUGGGGUAACGGCCCACCGAGGCUUCGACGGGUAGCCGGCCUGAGAGGGCGACCGGCCACAUUGGGACUGAGAUACGGCCCAGACUCCUACGGGAGGCAGCAGUGGGGAAUAUUGCACAAUGGGCGCAAGCCUGAUGCAGCGACGCCGCGUGCGGNAUGACGGCCUUCGGGUUGUAAACCGCUUUUGAUUGGGAGCAAGCGCAAGUGAGUGUACCUUUCGAAUAAGCGCCGGCUAACUACGUGCCAGCAGCCGCGGUAAUACUUANGGCGCAAGCGUUGUCCGGAAUUAUUGUGCGU